rnacentral:tRNA from 1 species
AAGAAUGCACGCAAGAGCUGCUAACUCAUGCCCCCGUACUUAAACGUACGGCUUUCUUA